GAUUGUGGCCGAGCACUAUCAGAUCAACCGAUAAAACAGCCUAAGAUGAGUGCCAGCUAGCUCGGGAGCUCCUGCUGUACGCGUCGGGCACCGGCUCCGUCCCCGAUAUGUGAAGGAAUGGCGCUAUGCAGAUCUUGCAGCCAAAUGGUGAGAAGGAGGAUAAUCCAGUGCAAAAGGCUACAGCUUCUGGUGCAACCGUGACAUCGGGAUCAUGAAUGUUGAGGCUCCCACAGUCCAGUGUAGUACUAGGUAAAGUAAUUUCUGGCAGUUGCCCAGAGCAAUGAUAUA